rnacentral:rRNA from 1 species
GGGUUGUGAGGUUAAGCGACUAAGCGUACACGGUGGAUGCCCUGGCAGUCAGAGGCGAUGAAGGACGUGCUAAUCUGCGAUAAGCGUCGGUAAGGUGAUAUGAACCGUUAUAACCGGCGAUUUCCGAAUGGGGAAACCCAGUGUGUUUCGACACACUAUCAUUAACUGAAUCCAUAGGUUAAUGAGGCGAACCGGGGGAACUGAAACAUCUAAGUACCCCGAGGAAAAGAAAUCAACCGAGAUUCCCCCAGUAGCGGCGAGCGAACGGGGAGCAGCCCAGAGCCUGAAUCAGUGUGUGUGUUAGUGGAAGCGUCUGGAAAGGCGCGCGAUACAGGGUGACAGCCCCGUACACAAAAAUGCACAUGCUGUGAGCUCGAUGAGUAGGGCGGGACACGUGGUAUCCUGUCUGAAUAUGGGGGGACCAUCCUCCAAGGCUAAAUACUCCUGACUGACCGAUAGUGAACCAGUACCGUGAGGGAAAGGCGAAAAGAACCCCGGCGAGGGGAGUGAAAAAGAACCUGAAACCGUGUACGUACAAGCAGUGGGAGCACGCUUCGGCGUGUGACUGCGUACCUUUUGUAUAAUGGGUCAGCGACUUAUAUUCUGUAGCAAGGUUAACCGAAUAGGGGAGCCGAAGGGAAACCGAGUCUUAACUGGGCGUUAAGUUGCAGGGUAUAGACCCGAAACCCGGUGAUCUAGCCAUGGGCAGGUUGAAGGUUGGGUAACACUAACUGGAGGACCGAACCGACUAAUGUUGAAAAAUUAGCGGAUGACUUGUGGCUGGGGGUGAAAGGCCAAUCAAACCGGGAGAUAGCUGGUUCUCCCCGAAAGCUAUUUAGGUAGCGCCUCGUGAAUUCAUCUCCGGGGGUAGAGCACUGUUUCGGCAAGGGGGUCAUCCCGACUUACCAACCCGAUGCAAACUGCGAAUACCGGAGAAUGUUAUCACGGGAGACACACGGCGGGUGCUAACGUCCGUCGUGAAGAGGGAAACAACCCAGACCGCCAGCUAAGGUCCCAAAGUCAUGGUUAAGUGGGAAACGAUGUGGGAAGGCCCAGACAGCCAGGAUGUUGGCUUAGAAGCAGCCAUCAUUUAAAGAAAGCGUAAUAGCUCACUGGUCGAGUCGGCCUGCGCGGAAGAUGUAACGGGGCUAAACCAUGCACCGAAGCUGCGGCAGCGACGCUUAUGCGUUGUUGGGUAGGGGAGCGUUCUGUAAGCCUGCGAAGGUGUGCUGUGAGGCAUGCUGGAGGUAUCAGAAGUGCGAAUGCUGACAUAAGUAACGAUAAAGCGGGUGAAAAGCCCGCUCGCCGGAAGACCAAGGGUUCCUGUCCAACGUUAAUCGGGGCAGGGUGAGUCGACCCCUAAGGCGAGGCCGAAAGGCGUAGUCGAUGGGAAACAGGUUAAUAUUCCUGUACUUGGUGUUACUGCGAAGGGGGGACGGAGAAGGCUAUGUUGGCCGGGCGACGGUUGUCCCGGUUUAAGCGUGUAGGCUGGUUUUCCAGGCAAAUCCGGAAAAUCAAGGCUGAGGCGUGAUGACGAGGCACUACGGUGCUGAAGCAACAAAUGCCCUGCUUCCAGGAAAAGCCUCUAAGCAUCAGGUAACAUCAAAUCGUACCCCAAACCGACACAGGUGGUCAGGUAGAGAAUACCAAGGCGCUUGAGAGAACUCGGGUGAAGGAACUAGGCAAAAUGGUGCCGUAACUUCGGGAGAAGGCACGCUGAUAUGUAGGUGA